CCUACGGGGCGCAGCAGUGGGGGAUAUUGCACAAUGGGGGGAACCCUGAUGCAGCGACGCCGCGUGGGUGAAGGAGCGUUUCGGCGCGUAAAGCCCUAUCGGCAGGGAAGAAGAUGACGGUACCUGACCAAGAAGCCCCGGCGAAAUACGGGCCAGCAGCCGCGGGAAUACGUAGGGGGCAAGGUUUAUCCGGAUUUACUGGGGGUAAAGGGGGCGCAGACGGGAAUGCAAGUCAGGAGUGAAAGCCCGGGGGCCAACCCCGGGACUGCUCUUGAAACUGCAUGGCUGGAGUACAGGAGGGGCAGGCGGAAUGCGUAGUGUAGCGGUGAAAUGCGUAGAUAUUAGGAGGAACACCGGUGGCGAAGGCGGCCUGCUGGACUGUGACUGACGUUGAGGCCCGAAGGCGUGGGGAGCAAACAGGAUUAGAUACCCGUGUAGUC
rnacentral:rRNA from 1 species